CGGGAAGGGGGGACAGAGUGGGAAACCAAGGAUCUAGACCCUGCCAAGACGCUGAGCUACAUGGAAAACACGAGCUGCCUCCAGGAUGGAGAUGACCUUUGAGUGACCAAUGGUGAAGCUCAACCCCGGCCCUUUCGAGCAAGGGAAUGCUAGCUGCGUCUGCCCAGGAGAAAAUGACAACUUCAUUAGAAGGGCUUGGAUAGAGCAGAGAGUGAGAAAACAAAUGACGGUGAGCGGUGUUGAUGGAGUGCAGUGAGACUAACUCUGAGGAGUUCUACCUGCCAAAACCUUCUGCCUAACCUUAACCCAGACGAGAGAAUUAAGAGAUGAUGUAUGGCUGAGAGCGUGCUAUCUGAUGGGAGGAGCGCUAUGAUUUGGGUUCUCUUCUUUUUUAGGAAGCAGUUUUGGUUCAGAGUGCUUGUUUUGUGCUUUGUGAGCUGGGGGAGAGGCUCGGAUGAAAUAGGGGGUGCUCAGGCUCAGCGUACAUUCUGUCCUGGCUGCCUCUCUCAAGGCUGGCUGGGGCGUGUGCUGCGCCGUUUCCACCCCGUCCGUUCAAGCAGGUGCCAGGCACGGUGAGAGGCUUCAGUCCUGCAGCGCUGACCCAAGACGCCCUCAGCCAGCCGUGAUGGAUUCCCUCCUCCUCCAGCUACCUCCUCUGGGCCAAAAGCGUGAGCUGUAAUGGGCUGGAGCCUCACAUUCCUAUUUAUCAGUAUUUGCGACCCCCUAGCACUCGCUUGCAGCCACAGUAUGAAAACCAAUGACUUAUUUGCUCCCAUGAUGGUCAGGAUGCUGCCUAAGAAGAAUGUUGCCUAUGUAGGCAGUAGUCAACAAGGCACCUCAGUAGGUUUUGGAACAGAGCUCAUGUGUGCCAACUUGAGUGUCUCCCAUCAACUGCUCGCUUAUUUUCUUCAAAUGAAUACAAAUGAAUGUUUUCAUUUCGAGCUGAACAGUGAAGUAUGUUAUCACAGGACUGCUUUCCUCCACACAAGAGAAGAGAAAACAAAUACAGAUUCAAACCGUUUUCAAAAAUGCUAUUCCAUUAUGACUAAAUUGUUAUAAUGUUGUAGUUGUGUGCAGGAGUGAUGGUGUGAUUAAUAUGGUCAGCUCUCAUCUGACAGCUUUAUGAAGUGCCUCAGUUACCACCAUUGCAAGAGGUCAUGACCUUACAUGUAACACAUGAUCAUUAGACUAUUAACUUACAUCAUGGAGAAAUUUUGUAUUGUUUAAUUUAGUUUGAUAAAUGAUGAAUAUUUUACAUAAUAUAUUAUUGAAACCGGAGGAUUUUUUUCUCACACAAAUUCCCCAAGCUGUUUGCUGUUACGCAAACUACUUUUAUUAUUUUUGUUAUAACAUAAUGAUUUUUUCCCCCUUAUUUCAAAAUCAAAUAAGAAUACUUCUAAUGCUGAAGUAAAGCAUAUUGUAUAGUAAAAUAUAUGAACCUUUAGAAAAAACUGGUCAGUUAGAGUUUUUAAAAUGAUAUGAUAAUCUAAUUUUCAAGGAAUUCAGACUCAUGCCAGGAAUAUGUCAGACUUGUGUAUGUUUUUGGGGGAGCUUAUAUUGGGGGGGAAGGUGAGGAGGUUUCCUAAAUGUUGAACGAUCACAUUGCAAUGGCAAUGUUUAUAUCACUGUCAUGAUUCUAUAGUACUGCUGCUUGAGAUGAGUGUAAGGUGAAUAGUGAAUUUGGCUCCAUAAAAUGUGUCUAUGAUUAAAAAUGUUUUUCAAAUGUUUUUCAAGUUCUUAGAACUUGUGCUUUUGUAUUCAGACUGAUUUUAUAUAGUUCUGAAAAGAGUUAAAAAAAAAAAAAUCUUGGUAAUGUCUGAAGUGUACACAUCUUAGAUGUUUUACACAUCUCUUAAACACACACACAUACACAAAACGUAAAUCGUGAAUUAUUCAUUCAAAAAUUAAUUUUAAGGGAAUUGCACCACAUAACAUUUUACAAGCUGGAAAUACUGAUCCAAUAAUGGUUCUAGUGCCAGCUGUGGUCCAAUCUCCUUAAAACUGUGUGCUUGUUUAGAAUCACCUGUCCCAUGUGCUCAGCAGGUUUUGUAAAAUUGUAAGUUUUCUUUUAGGCUUUAUAGGAUUCUGGGUAAAUUUGUAUAGGCCCCUUUUCUAAACUACCCUGUUAUAGCAAAGUUGUUUGGAAGGAGGAAUUCUAUUAUAUGGCAUGAAUAUCGUGUGU